AUCUCUGUGUCGAAAUUGGUAAACGAGCUGUAUUAAGGGUGCAGUGAUGAAUAGUCUUGUGAGUUCAAGUCUCACCAGAGAUA
rnacentral:tRNA from 1 species